rnacentral:rRNA from 1 species
UACAGAGGGGGCAAGCGUUGUUCGGAAUUACUGGGCGUAAAGGGCGCGUAGGCGGCCUUCUAAGUCGAACGUGAAAUCCCCGGGCUCAACCCGGGAACUGCGUCCGAUACUGGAGGGCUUGAAUCCGGGAGAGGGAUGUGGAAUUCCAGGUGUAGCGGUGAAAUGCGUAGAUAUCUGGAGGAAUACCGGUGGCGAAGGCGGCAUCCUGGACCGGCAUUGACGCUGAGGAGCGAAAGCUAGGGGAGCAAACGGG